GUAAACGUGGACUCCUGCCGGUGUUAAUUAUAUCACACUUGCGUAUCAUUAUUUACUGAUAAUUAUGGUGGAUAUGUUAAAUUGAAGUUCUGUUGGUUGAAUUUCGCUUGCCCUUUUUAUUUCAAGUCUCGUAAAUGUCAUUAGCAUUUGUAAAUAUAGCAGGAUGUGGCACAUCAUGCUAAUCUUUAAUCCAUUGACCGUGGUUGUUUGCUCUCUCUUUUUCUCUGGGAAUGUAGGUCAUUACCAAAGGUGUGCCACUGUGGGUGGCUCCCGCACACCCGUGGCUACGCCCCUGCCGUGACCCAAAUCUCUUUCGCAUAUUAUCGCGAUGUUUAUCAUCAAUUUACAAACGUCGCCAGUCGCCACAUCUUUUUUCUUCACAUACUUCUCAUACUCCUCCAUCUACACGCUCCACAACAUUUAAACCAACGGCUCUUUUAAGAGCUCAUUCACUCACUCACUCACUCACUCACUCACUCACUCACUCACUCACUCACUCACUCACUCUCCAACUCAUUCACUCACUCAUUCACUCACUCACUCACUCACUCACUCACUCACUCACUCUCCAACUCAUUCACUCACUCAUUCACUCACUCACUCACUCACUCACUCACUCACUCACUCACUCACUCACUCUCCUUUAGGGCUGUGCAAAAAAAUUCUCAUGUGUGUUUCAUCAGUAAAGCCGGUUCCGUGAUUAGAAGUAAAUCACCAUCAGCUGCUUUCAGAUGGAGCGGCAUUUAUUACACAGACCCGUAGUUCACCAAAAAGCUAGGCAAAAUUGCAUAGAAUAUCGGAGUCGAUUUUCCUCGAUUUGAACCCGAUUUUGCCUAGCUUCUUGGUGAACUACGGGUCUACGAUUUACUUCUAAUCACGGAACCGGCUUUACUGAUGAAACACAUUGCAUGAAUUGCAGACGAAUACUGAUGAAUUGCAGACUUUUUUUUUUUCACAGCCCUACUCUCCUACGCGCACACACACACACACACACACACACACACACACACACACACACACACACACACACACACACACACACACACACACACACACUCUCUCACUCUCUCUCUGUUUGUCCCUCUUUCAAUUUGUUUUGCCUAUUUCUAUUUGCAUUCUUUCAAUAUGGCAUCUUCAGGUUUUGACCAGUUAUGCCAGGAAGCUGCAACUAUUUCAAAGCAUCUUGAAAUGAAAGCUGACAAUGCUGAACUUGAAGCAGCUACCAGGGAGGCUGAAGAAAUUCUACAAAUGUUCAAUCCUCCACUGCUGAAAAAGAAGACCAAACGAGCGAUUUUCUGGACUCAACAGACACAGUGAACUUUGCACUGCAUUUCAAAGCCAGCUUCUCAGCCGCAACACCGAGAACCAGAGUUGAAGUCAAUGUACUGCUGAGAAAGUGCAAGAUCUAUUUAACCAAAAAUAUAAGGAUGCUGGAGGUACUGGAAGGCUCCCCUACCAAUCCCUGGUAAAUCAAGGCAUGACAGUUAAAGUUGCAGGACUGCCCAACAGCCUCAAAAAGCCAUCCUAUUAUGUAGGGUGACCAUACGUGCCAUUCUUCCCGGACGCAUCCCAUCCAGGAUUUCGGUGCGUCUUCCGGAAGUCGUAUUUGUUGACCGCAUACGCCAUUCAGUUAAAAACAUAAGAUAUACAAUCGUAGUUUCAUUCUUCCCUUAAAAUGUAACGGUUGCUUUUCUGUAAUAAUAA